AUAUCCAUAAGAGGGGGGAAAGAAACCAAUAGGGAAGCGGUAAAAUCUCAAAUUUGAAAUCUGGCUCUUCUAGAGUCCGAGUUGUAAUUUGAAGAUGGUACUCUGGUCCAGGCAUAUGCCCCUUGGAACAGGGCGGCACUCCCGUUCUGCUUGGGUGCCAAUCCUAUGUAGCGUGCCUUCGAAGAGUGGAGUUUGUUUGGGAAUGCAGCUCUAAGUGAGUGGUAAACACCAUCUAAAGCUAAGUAUUGGCGAGAGACCGAUGUCGAACAAGUACAGUGAUGGGAAGAUGAAGAGAACUUUGAAAAGAGAGUGACAUAGUAC
rnacentral:rRNA from 1 species